GGUUCGAUUCUGGCUCAGAUUGAACGCUGGCGGGGUGCUUUACACAUGCAAGUCGAACGGCGGCACGGACUUCGGUCUGGUGGCGAGUGGCGAACGGUGAGUAAUGUAUCGGAACGUGCCUAGUAGCGGGGAUAACUAUGCGCGAAAGCGUAGCUAAUACCGCAUACGCCCUUCGGGGGAAAGCGGGGGACCUUCGGGCCUUGCACUAUUAGAGCGGCCUGAUAUCGAUAUAUUAGUUGCGGCACUGGCUCACCAAGGCGACGAUCCGUAGCUGGUUUGAGAGGACGACCAGCCACACUGGGACUGAGACACGGCCCAGACUCACGGGAGGCAGCAGUGUGGGAAUUUUUGAUGGUCGGGGAAACCCUGAUCCAGCCAUCCCGCGUGUGCGAUGAAGGCCUUCGUUGUAAAGCACUUUUUGGCAGGAAAGAAAACGCACGGGAUAAUACCCUCGUGCAACUGACGGUACCCGCAGAAUAAGCACCGCCAACUACGUGCCAGCAGCCGCGGUAAUAUGUCGUAGGGUGGCAAGCGCUAAUCGGAAUUACUGGGCGUAAAGCGUGCGCAGGCGGUUCGGAAAGAAAAGAUGUGAAAUCCCAGAGCUUAACUUAUGGGAAUCCCAUUUUUAACUACCGAGUAGAGUGUGUCAGAGGGAGGUGGAAUUCCGCGUAGCAGUGAAAUGCGUAGAUAUGCGGAGGAACACCGAUGGCGAAGGCAGCCUCCUGGGAUAACACUGACGCUCAUGCACGAAAGCGUGGGGAGCAAACAGGAUUAGAUACUCCAGAACGCCGCUCAAACGAUGUCAACUAGCUGUCAGCUUUCGCCUUGGUAGCGCAGCUAACGCGUGAAGUUGACUCAAAUGGGGAGUACGAUCGCAAGAUUAAAACUCAAAGGAAUUGACGGGACCCGCACAAGCGGUGGAUGAUGUGGAUUAAUUGAUGCAACGCGAAAAACCUUACCUACUCCUUGACAUGUCUGGAAUCCCGAAGAGAUUUGGGAGUGCUCGCAAGAGAACCGGAACACAGGUGCUGCAUGGCUGUUGCCGUCAGUGCUCGUGUCGAGAUGUUGGGUUAAGUCCUGCAACGAGCGCAACCCUUGUCAUUAGUUGCUACGAAAGGGCACUCUAAUGAGACUGCCGGUGACAAACCGGAGGAAGGUGGGGAUGACGUCAAGUCCUCAUGGCCCUUAUGGGUAGGGUCACAAUGUCAGUACAAUGGUCGUACAGAGGGUCGCCAACCCGCGAGGGGGAGCCAACUGUAGAAACCUGAUCGUAGUCCGGAUCGCAGUCUGCACCGACUGCGAAGUCGGAAUCGCUAGUAAUCGCGGAUCAGCAUGUCGCGGUGAAUACGUUCCCGGGUCUUGUACACACCGCCCGUCACACCAUGGGAGUGGGUUUUACCGGUGAAGAAGUUGAAUGAAUCAAGGAGGGCGAUUACCAUUGCAGGAUUCAGACUGGGGGUGAAGUCGAGUAACAAGGCAG
rnacentral:rRNA from 1 species